rnacentral:lncRNA from 1 species
AUCCUUUUUAUUUUUUCUGAGUGGUUUUCCACCCACAGCUGGCUGAAUCCAGGAACGUGGAACCCAUGGAUAUGGAGGGCCAGCUGUAUUGGCUGUGCCUUACAAAUGAAGUGCACCAGAGGCUACAAUAAAUAUUCAAUUGCUUUUCAAUUACUAUGGAUAGUGAAUUGAGUUCUCCCUUUUUCUUAAUGUGACACAAUGCUGAUCUGGGCCCACAAGUGGAUGUGUCUUUCCGUGGGUUGCCCCCCAAUUCCCCAGCUCUGCUAACCCUCCCGUGUUCAGCCACCCUGAGCAAUCUUGUUCCCUCACCCACCACAUCUCUCCACCUGAGACAUGAACACCCCACCCUAACGUCCCUCUGCUCAUCCAACUCCUGUUCAUCCUUUCUUUGGGAGAUCUUCCAUGGCUCCCUGGGUGACCCCUACUCACUGAGUCCUUAGUUCCCACUGCACCCUGUGCCCAACCUGGGAAAAGCCUGAGCUCUCUCGGGUUCCUCGCUUUAAAAUGGGAUCACUUGCCUGCCCCUGCUGAAAACGAGGCAAGGUAGAAGAAAGCCCUUUGCAAUCUGUAAAGGGCUAGCUAGGCACCUGAGGGCUGUUAUUGGCAUUUGGUUCCAGGAAGGCCCUGUUUUUGAUCGUCUUCUCUGUUCCAUCCUCUCCAGGUGAAGCUUCAAUGUGCCCCGAGAGCCAGGUAUCCGCAGAAACAGAAAUACUGUGUUAUUGGCAGGAAUUAGAUAAGCUUGUGAAUUUAGGGAUCUGCUUCGCGCCAAUUUCAUCAGCUUGGGGAUGGGGGUGGGAUGGGAGUGGGCAAUCUGACUCUUCUAGGACAGCCUCCUCGUAUUCCAGGUUAUUGUUUCCCCAUCCCAGGAAAUCCUGCGGGUGCCUUCCCCCAACGAAAGCCACUGAUGUCGCCCCUCUCCUCCCAGCAGCUUCCAGACCGCGACCUUCUGUAGCUCUGCUCAGAACUUCACCUGGAACAGCUUCUUACAAUUCUUAAACAGCCCCUCAGUCGACUGUGAUUAAGCAUACACUCCAGCCUCAGCAAGCUUGGCGUCUGCCCCUGCCGCUGGGAGACCCUCCUCCAGGCACCUGCCCUGGGCCCCGCCCCGCCCGGUCCGCGCGCACGCGCAGUGGCCCCACCCCGCCCCGCCCCGCGACGCCCGAGGACCCGACGGAGCUACACCCGCUAGUUCAGCCAGGAGGCCCUGCGCGGCUCCGGGGAGAGCUGGGUGGUUAUGCCACCUCAUUAGACACAUUGGUGGACGAUGCCGCGGAUUAGCGGGAUGGUUUGUGUACAAACGAAGCCGUGUCACUUCUCAAGUGUCGGUGCUCAACGUGGCAACGCCCCUCCCGCCCCCAGUACAGAGAUCCUGCCCAUCCACCGACAAUCCCCCUCCUCAUCUUCCUUCCCCCAGGUGCGAGUGAUUCAAGGAAAUCCGACUGGAGGGAACACACGCUGCGAUGCACCCUCUCCUCUUCCAUUGAGCCAGGGGUGACCUUGAGAGACUCAGGCCACCUCACCAGGCUCUACCAGGAACAGCGUCUACAGCUGGUAGAGAGCACGGGCUGCAGAGAGGUAAAGAUGGGGUUCGGAAGCCAAGGCUCCCCUUGUUGCAUGGGUGACAUCAGGCAAGCUACUCAACCUCUAACCCUGGCUUCCCCUUCUGUAUACUGGAGACAGUAUCGGCCCCACAGGCACUUGUGGAGCAAGUGGGUUUGAGCUGAGCUCCUCUGAAAAUCAGAGGCACACUCAGAGAGUAGCUCAGAAAACCAGGAUGUGUCAGUUUCAUUUGCUGGGAAGCAGAAGCCAAGAUAGAAUUAGAAGUGCAAUGUCUGUGAAGGAAGAAUAAAGGGAAAAGGAAACAGGAGUGGGGCAGGGGGCAGACCAAAAGGAAGACAGACAAGUGUGAGAAGGAGCCCCACAGUGCAGUGUAAGCUUAAGAAGGUGUGGAGAGGAUGGGAGUCACUCACUGGGCAGGAAUGGCCCAGCUCCAGCACCUUGCUAUGACCAGCCAGCUGCUGGGAACAGGCCAGGAAGAGUGUGGCCUUAGCGCAAACACUGGGGUGGAUCUCGAGAUGAAGGUGUGGCCGCUGGAAGCUGUCACUUCACCACUCCUCUUCUGAAGAGAGAGCUGAGCCCUGCACAUGGGAGCAUUGGUGAAAAGGGUGGUAGACGUUUAUCAGUAACCUUACUGGUUUUGUGCUCCAUCCUCCAUCUCCCAAAGUCCCCCUGACCUUGCCUUCAGCUCCAGGAAUGGCCACAUGACUCAGACAAAGCCAACCAGCCAUCCCAUUUCAGUGGCCAGUGAUGAAUGAUUCAGUGUUUACCCAAACGCAUCCAAUCAGGGUGAAUCUGAGGACAUUUGCUGGGGAGGCUGGGACACAGAUAAUCUCUUUUCUGACAGAUGGUAACAAGAAAGUAGGUAGCUGCAGGGGCUGCUGGCAGCCAUCUUGAGACAUGAAAGGUGUCCAAAUUGGGAUGAAUUCAGCACUGAAGAUGGUGGUACAGAGAAACAGGAGAUAGGGCCUUUGAUCACAUUGUUGGAUGGCUGGUUAAGCCUCUCCUGAAAUCCAUUCUACUGCUGGACUUUACAGUUCAUAAACUAAUAAAUCCUCUUUACUGUUUGAAGCAGUUGUGUCAGGUGUCCUGUUACGUAUAAGAAAGGCCUCUGAUUUGAUCAGCAAUAGGGAACUGGAUGUCCUCUGAGCUCCAAAAGUCAGCACAGGCCUAAUGCUCAGGCGUUAUGGAGCCUCGGACUGAUGAAAGGGUGGUAUGGGCAUCCAUGACUGCUUUUGGGACCUCAGGGGAGCAGUGUGUGAAUGUUCAUUUCAGAGUAAUGACAGCAACUCCACGUGUCUGCAUCCUUUUACGCCCAGCCACUCCCUUUCCUAUGACCAGCUGCUGUCUUCACCCUCUCGCCUGUAUCUUUUCUCCAUUACAUAGAUCCUCCUAACUCACACUUCCUCCUUCCUGAGUCGAGUUUGCAAGACUGAUUCCAGAUUCACCUUGUGAUUAUCCUAACGCAUCUCUUACCUUCAAUAACUUCCAAGGGCCUUAUCCUCUCUUCAUUUCCCAAUUCAAAUUUCCGGGAGCAGGACUUGGAUUAUCCCAGCUCUUGCCUAUUUAGACAACCUCAGAGAUUCUAUUUCCACUGUAUGUGGAGGGGACUGAGUAUUGGUACUUUUGAAAAGUUUCUUGGAUGGUUCAAGUGUGCAGCCAGAGUCAAGAACCCCUGGAUUAGUAGAGCUUUCCAGGCCAGCUGACCCCACAGUCGGCCCUUGGGUCAAGUUCAAGCUCAAUCCAGUCAGCUAAGAGCAGAGCCACAGGGUCUCACUAUGCCCAAAGUCCCUUCCAUUGGCAGAAUCUGUGGCUACAGAAGGAGUGAGAGGAGGCCAGGCACAGUGGCUCAUGCCUGUAAUCCUAGCAUCUUGGGAGGCCAAGGCAGGUGGAUCACCUGAGGUCAGGAGUUCGAGACUAGCCUGGCCAACAAGGCAAAACCCCAUCUCGACUAAAAAUACAAAAAUUAGCCAGAUGUGGUGGCAGACGCCUGUAAUCCCAGCUACUCAGGAGGCUGAGGCAGUAGAAUUGCUUGAACCCAGGAGGCGGAGGUUGCAGUGAGCUGAGAUCGUGCCACUGCAUUCUAGCCUGGCAACAGAGUGAGACUCUGUCUCAAAUAAAAAAAAAAAGAAGGAGUGAGAGGAGAUAGGCCCCUGCUUGACAUGCUGAGGACAAACAAGCCUAGCACAGCGCUUGGCUUCAUGCAGUCGCUCAACAAAUGACAGAUGUUAUUACAUUCCUGUCUCUUCUGUAAUUCAAGGGGAUGCAGUUGGCCCUCCGUAUCCUGGGGUUUCACAUCCAUGACUUCAACCAACCACAGACUGAAAAUAUUCAGAUAAAUAAUAAAAUACAAUAAAAAAUGCAUAUUUUAAAAAUAAUAUAGUAUACUAACAAUUUCCAAAGCAUUUACAUUGUAUUAGGUAUUAUAAGUAAUCUAGAGAUGAUUUAAAGCAUACAAGAGAAUGGAGGUAGGUUAUACACAACUAUUAUGCCAUUUUAUAUAAGGGACUUGCACAUCGCUGGAUUUUGGUAUCUGAGGAAGUCCUGGAACCAAUCUCCCACAGAUACCGAGGGACGACUGUAUUGUCUUUAAAAUAAACUAUGCAUCUGGGUGUGGUGGCAUGCAUCUGUAGUCCCAGCUACUCGGGAGACUGAGGUGGGAAGAUCCCUUGAGUUCUGAUCACAUUACUGCACUCCAGCCUGGGCAACAGAGUGAGACCCUAUCUCUUAAAAAAAAAAAAAAACGUAAAAAAUAAUAACGUAAAACGAAAUAAACUAUGCUGCUAUAACACAACAGAGGAAGAGCUGCUGAGGAAGCACCUAGAGGAUCUAGGCAUCCAUGCUUAGCAAAUUUACUACAAAAACAGGAAAAUCCUCGCUAAUCAGAUUUACAUUUGAGAGCAAUUGCUGCCAGUGCAAUAGGAAUAAAUGCAGUUAUGAGUGUUAUAUUUCAGGAGGUUAUUUGAUGACAUGGGAAACAGGACCUCAUGUUAAGAGAAAGAAGGAUAUAAAUUUAUGUAGUAUAUGAUUCAAAUUUUGUUUAAAAACUACAUGUGUUUACUCAUGUUUCUACAAAGAAAAAUAGAGAAACUGAAAAGGUAUCUGUGGUUUCUCAGGAGAAAGAGUUGUUCUUUUUUUUUCUUUUUUUCUUUUUUUUUUUUUUUGAGAUGGAGUCUCACUCUGUUGUCCAGGCUGGAGUGCAGUGGCAUAAUCUCGGCUCACUGCAACCUCUGCCUCCCAACUUCAAGCGUUCAAGCGAUUCUCCUGCCUCAGCCUCCCAAGUAGCUGGGACUACAGGCAUGCACCACCAUGUCCGGCUAAUUUUUUUGUAUUUUUAGUAGAGAUGGGGUUUUGCCAUGUUGGCCAGGCUGGUCUCGAACUGCUGAGCUCAGUCCUCGGCUUCGAUCCACCUGCCUCGGCCUCCCAAAGUGCCGGGAUUACAGGCGUGAGCCACUGCACCCAGCCGAGAGUUUUUCUUAAAGCUAAUUAUGUCCAAUUUAGAGGGCUAAUCUUUAUUCUAAAUACUAUCCUUCUACUUUUUGGCAUUAACAGGCUUUUAUGAAAGGAUUGUUUCAGUAGAAUACUGCCUGGGUUGGGUUAGAGAUGCACAUCCAGAAUGAAAAGUCGGCAGCCUUAUGUCAGCACCCUCUGCACGCUACCCUGUUUGGUUUUGUUUCUAAUUUUAAUUUUGUAGAAAUCAAUACAGAACUCUGGAACCCACUGCUUUAGAAGAUAAGAAUCUCUUUCCUGCUCCGAUCAUUCUGGCUUGCCUUGGAUUUAAGGCUCUUCCAGAAGGACCUGGCCCUGAUUCACUGGGAUAAUGUCCACCAUGUCCAGGGGCACUGCCCAGAGGGGGUACUUUUCAUAUUCUCUACCAACUAAUCUUCCACCUGCCAGCCUAGGGGGCAGUGAGUGGAGAACGCUGGGAAUUCAGGGUUGGGGAGGAGGGACAGCAACAGGAAAAGAUUGAACAUAUGUGCCAAUUAGGCCAGGAGAUGAGGACCCCAGACCCGGAAGAAGGAGGAAGAAGAAAGACACACUUGAUCUUCCUGCUUAGAAUGUUGGCAGAAGUCAUAUUCAAAAGAUAAGAGAAUCAAGACUUAUGAAACAAAAGAAAACCAAAGAAAGGCAACACGGCCGAUGCUAGGUGGGGAUUACUAGCUAGUAAAGAGCUGUCGAGUGUUUGAUGCCAUUUAUUCAUUUGAGCUCUCCAGUUGCCUAGUUUUUCAUUCAACAAGUGUCGUCUGAAGGUGUUGUGUGGACAGAACGUUGUGUGGGAUCCAAAGCUGAAACAGAUACUUAAGUCUGUGCUCUAGUAAAUAAGAUAGGACACGCAUAUUUACCCCACAGGGAGCAAUAAAUACUCUAAGACCAUUACAAAUUGUUCUGGGAGUUCAGAGGAGGGAAUUUAUUUCUAGUCCAGAGCAAUGAAGGGUGACCUCCUGGAGGAAGUGGCAGUUGAAUGGGGGCCUUGAAGGAUGGGUGAGAUUUAAACAUGCAAACUAUCAGCAAGGGAAACGGGAGAGCAACGCAGGAGCAAACAUCAAGAUGGGAAAACACAAAGCAUGUAGGGGAAACACAAAUGCAAUAUUUUGUAUUAUGGGCGAGGCUCUACAAGAGGCACUGGAUUGCAAUGGGACUAUUGUUUCCAGGGGCCCUCUGGGCUGGUGGUCAAACUACUGGAACUAUCACUAUUUCAGACCAAGCCGGGCUCACAAGUCUUAGCUGUUCUUGCCAAUUCUUCUCCUGAAUACUCACUCCAAUAAGAGCAGUCAGGAAAUGUUUCUUGGGAAAUAGCUUCAAAGACACCAACAUACCACUAUGAACACUUAAAAUAUGGAGACAGAGCAUUUGGAGUACUGCUCCCAGCAUGUUGGAGGGAAAAGAAGCAAGACCCUUCCCAGAGCCUUGAGACAAGAGUUGUGUCAACUGUGGAUGGCUGUGCCCCAGUCACUUGAGAGACAUGAAUCAAUUUCCAGCUGCAUUUAUCACUUGCUGCCUUAAAUCAAGUCUAAUCAAUGCUUCCUUCAUUUGGUAUGGAUUGAAACUAUAUAUAACACACUCAGAAAACAGGAGAGAAAAGCAGCAGAUCACAAAAAUUCCAUCAGGGAUUUAGAUGGAAUGAUGUUAGAGAAACAUUUGCAAUCUUUCAUUUGCUCUAAUGGAGACCCCUGACCAAACAAUCAGAGAUUUGCGUUUAUGAAGCUUCAUUUGAAUUUACCUGACAUGCAAUGACAUUCCAUGACAGGUCAUUUGAUACAUUGGGGGGGGGGGGUGGUUUCUGCAUCUUUAAGGAUUUUAUAAUUAAUACACUCUUAGGAUCUGAUGUAUAUUUAUAAUUUUAUUCCUAUACUAAGUUUUAAACUCAUUUCCAUUUAUUUUAGAGAUAUCUGUUUUGUCAUCAUUGACUAUAUAAGUCAAUUUCCAGUUAUAACAUAUAAAGUAAUAAAAAUCCCUUUGUAACAAAGUAGAU